UUGAGGAUGCAGGUGACUGGAGUGACAGGUGACAGGUGCUUCGGGGAGCCAGCAGCCUCGUGCGUGCCACACCUCUCACUCUAUUUCCUAGGAAGCGACAGCCCCGGGCUCUCUCUGCUUCCAAGGCCUACAGAAACUUCCAGACCAGCCCCAGCCUUCUGCAGCUGAGGACAAGAAGCAGAGCAUCCCGGGUGUCCCAGAUGCCAUUCGGGGUGGCUGGUUAACGCCUUACCCUCCCUGCAGCCAAACCCCCGGCCUCUGGAAGAGACAGCAAAUCAUGAAGUCUAACCCAGGCCACACGCUCAGUGCCCACUUCUACUUGGGGUUAUCUGAGACCCCCUCUUCUCCUGCUUUGCGGCUUUCACGGAAAAUAACUACUUUGAACCAAAGCCCUAGCAUCUAGGUGGAGCCCCAAAAGGGCAGGAAGGUACCGCCCCUGGCUUUGGAGGCCAGUGGGGGCCCACAGCACAUCCAUCACAGCCCCGGGGACACAGCGGUUCAAUGACUGCCCUGGGCCGGCCACGUCAACACCCGCCCGCACACAAACCGUGAAAGACAACACAAGUUCCCAGCAACCCUGCCGGCCGAGCAGGAAGCCCUCAAAACGCCCUGCGUCCAGGUCUCCAGGAUCACAGCAGUCACUGCUCAUUUUCCACCCGCGGCAAAGAAAAAAGCCUUUAACUCUUGGGCACACCUUCCCCACUGUCGUCGCCCUGGCACCAUAUUAGUGCAUUUGUGACAACGGAUGAGCCCACGCUGACCCAUCAUUAUCCCCCAGAGCCCGCGCUUUCCAUCAAGGCGCCCUACGGUGUGGUGCGGUCUGCGGUUUCGACAAAUGGAGACGGCUAUGGAUCUACCUUUUUGGCGUCACUCGGAGCGUGUCACUGCCCUAAAAAUCCUCUGUGCCCCACCGAUUCAUCCCUCCUGCCCUCCCUGUCUCCUCCUGGCCCCAUAGCUCCUUUCCUUUCAGUGCUGGCUGACCGUCCACAGUCUGGCUGGGCCACGGGUUCAUCCAUUCACCUACGGGCCGAAGAAGAUCCGCGGCGCUUCCGGGUUUUGGCAAUGGUGAAUAAAGCCGCUACAAGCUGUGUCUGUGUGCACACAAGGUUUCUG